GACCCUAUAGAACCCCACAGAACCCCAUAGGACCCCCAUAGGGCCCCCAUAGGGACCCUAUAGAACCCCACAGGACCCCACAGGACCCUAUAGAACCCCAUGGGACCCCCACAGAACCCCAUAGGACCCCCAUAGAACCCCAUAGGACCCCACAGGACCCCAUAGAACCCUAUAGGACCCUAUAGAACCCCAUAGGACCCCCAUAGGACCCCAUAGGACCCUAUAGGACCCCACAGGACCCCAUAGAACCCCAUAGGACCCCAUAGACCCACAGCACCCCAUAGGUCUCAGCUGUGCUUGCUGUGCUGGCAGUUGAGCAGCUCCGCGAAGCGCUGCAGCCGCAUGUUGGGUCCACAUCAUCACCCCUGGUCCCAUAUAAACCCCAUAGGGACCCCAUGGGACCCUAUAGAACCCCAUAGGUCCCCACAGGACCCUAUAGAACCCCAUAGGACCCCAUAG
rnacentral:lncRNA from 1 species